rnacentral:rRNA from 1 species
CAGCAGCCACGGUAAUACGUAGGGUGCAAGCGUUAAUCGGAAUUACUGGGCGUAAAGCGUGCGCAGGCGGUUCUAUAAGACAGAUGUGAAAUCCCCGGGCUCAACCUGGGAACUGCAUUUGUGACUGUAGAGCUGGAGUACGGCAGAGGGGGAUGGAAUUCCGCGUGUAGCAGUGAAAUGCGUAGAUAUGCGGAGGAACACCGAUGGCGAAGGCAAUCCCCUGGGCCUGUACUGACGCUCAUGCACGAAAGCGUGGGGAGCAAACAGGAUUAGAUACCCGAGUAGUCCCUGUCUCUUAUAC